UUAACUCAAAUUUGUAUGGAGUUGGAACGUUUGCCGCUAGGGGCGCUGUUCCAACUGCAUACAAAUUUGAGUUA
rfam:Bombyx mori DNA, contig: Bm_scaf4_contig4242, strain: p50T/Dazao, build 2, whole genome shotgun sequence.